UACGUAGGGUGCAAGCGUCAAUCGGAAUUACUGGGCGUAAAGCGUGCGCAGGCGGUUUUGUAAGUCAGGGGUGAAAUCCCGGGGCUUAACCUGGGAACUGCGUUUGAAACUACAAGGCUAGAGUGUGGCAGAGGGGGGUGGAAUUCCCGGUGUAGCGGUGAAAUGCGUAGAGAUCGGGAGGAACAUCAGUGGCGAAGGCGGCCAUCUGGGACAACACUGACGCUGAGGCACGAAAGCGUGGGGAGCAAACAGG
rnacentral:rRNA from 1 species